GGGGUUGUAGCUCAGUGGUAGAGCACUUGCCUACCGUGCAUGAGACGCUGGGCUUGCUCCUCAGCGUCACCC
rnacentral:tRNA from 1 species